rfam:Schistosoma rodhaini strain Burundi genome assembly, scaffold: SROB_scaffold0000345
GCACUACUGAGGAGUCCCACGCCAGGACGAAACGGCCGUCCGGUGU